UGUGGAGGAAAGAAUCAAAAGAGAUUCCUUUAGUAACGGCGAGUGAAACAGGAGAAGCUCAGCGUGUAGCCACAAAGCGGACCCGCAAUGCGGAAAUCCAAACUUUGUUGGGAUGCCACGUAUGGGAAAAUAUCGUUUAAGAGUAACCUACCCUGUAAUCCAAACUCGUCUAGUGAGAAAUUAGACCAUAGAGGGUAAUAGCCCCGUAGGACAGGAAAAGUAAACAGGURGGACUCRAAAUUGAUAUUUUCUCUUGAGUCAGGUUAUUUGAGAAUAUAGCCUAAAGAGGAGGUAUAUUCCUUCUAAAGCUAAAUAUAACUGUGARACCGAUAGUGAACAAGUACCAUGAGGGAAAGUUGAAAAGARCUUUGAAGAGAGAGUUCAGUCAUAGCUGUUUCC
rnacentral:rRNA from 1 species